GACGAACGCUGGCGGCGUGCCUAAUACAUGCAAGUCGAGCGGACCAACGGAGAGCUUGCUCUCCUGCGGUCAGCGGCGGACGGGUGAGUAACACGUAGGCAACCUGCCUGUACGACCGGGAUAACUCCGGGAAACCGGAGCUAAUACCGGAUAAUUCUUUUCUACACAUGUAGAAAAGCUAAAAGACGGUUUACGCUGUCACUUAUAGAUGGGCCCGCGGCGCAUUAGCUAGUUGGUGAGGUAACGGCUCACCAAGGCCACGAUGCGUAGCCGACCUGAGAGGGUGAUCGGCCACACUGGGACUGAGACACGGCCCAGACUCCUACGGGAGGCAG
rnacentral:rRNA from 1 species